rnacentral:rRNA from 1 species
GACGAACGCUGGCGGCGUGCUUAACACAUGCAAGUCGAACGGUGAAGCGCCUUCCUUUUUGGUGGGUGUGGAUGAGUGGCGAACGGGUGAGUAACACGUGAGUAACCUGCCCCCUUCUUCUGGAUAACCGCAUGAAAGUGUGGCUAAUACGGGAUAUUCUGGGUCUGUCGCAUGAUGGGUCUGGGAAAGAUAUUGUUUCGGUGGGGGAUGGGCUCGCGGCCUAUCAGCUUGUUGGUGGGGUGAUGGCCUACCAAGGCGGUGACGGGUAGCCGGCCUGAGAGGGUGGACGGUCACACUGGGACUGAGACACGGCCCAGACUCCUACGGGAGGCAGCAGUGGGGAAUAUUGCACAAUGGGCGCAAGCAUGAUGCAGCGAUGCCGCGUGAGGGAUGGAGGCCUUCGGGUUGUGAACCUCUUUCGCCAGUGAAGCAGGCCUGCCUCGUUUGUGGGUGGGUUGACGGUAGCUGGAUAAGAAGCGCCGGCUAACUACGUG